rnacentral:lncRNA from 1 species
CAAUAACUAACUUCUCAGAUCGGGGAAUACUACUCACUAUAUCAUCCAAGUCCUCCCAAAAGCGCCUCUUAACCCCAUCGUCUAAGCCUCCUUGUGGCGCGUAAGCGCUGAUGACGUUGAGAACGCAACCCCCAAUAACCAACUUAAUAGACAUUAACCUAUCAUUCACUCGCCUAACCUCGACCACGGACUCCCUUAGGUCCCUAUCUACCAGAUGCCUACUCCAUUCUUAUCUCUCAUGACCCCAGAAUACCACAACUUAAACCCAUCUAUAUUCCUCUCCUUCGACCCUACGGACUUCCUUAGAUCCCUAUCAACCAAGAUGCCCACUCAUUUCUUACCUUUCACGACCCCAGAAUACCACAGCUUAAACCCGUCUACAUUCCUCGCCUUCGACCCUUUCCACCUAGUCUCCUGG